rnacentral:rRNA from 1 species
GACGAGGGAUCCUAGCGUUGUUCGGAAUCAUUGGGCGUAAAGCGGGUGUAGGCGGGCUUAUAAGUCAGGUGUGAAAUCCCAGGGCUCGACCCUGGAAGUGCAUUUGAUACUGUAAGUCUUGAGUGUGGUAGAGGUUAUUGGAAUUCCUGGUGUAGUGGUGAAAUACGUAGAUAUCAGGAGGAAUACCGGAGGCGAAGGCGGGUAACUGGGCCAACACUGACGCUGAGAUCCGAAAGCGUGGGGAUCAAACAGG